rnacentral:rRNA from 1 species
CCUACGGGAGGCAGCAGUAGGGAAUCUUCCACAAUGGGCGAAAGCCUGAUGGAGCAACGCCGCGUGGGUGAAGAAGGUCUUCGGAUCGUAAAACCCUGUUGUUAGAGAAGAAAGUGCGUGAGAGUAACUGUUCACGUUUCGACGGUAUCUAACCAGAAAGCCACGGCUAACUACGUGCCAGCAGCCGCGGUAAUACGUAGGUGGCAAGCGUUAUCCGGAUUUGUUGGGCGUAAAGGGAGCGCAGGCGGUCUUUUAAGUCUGAUGUGAAAGCCUUCGGCUUAACCGGAGUAGUGCAUUGGAAACUGGGAGACUUGAGUGCGGAAGAGGAGAGUGGAACUCCAUGUGUAGCGGUGAAAUGCGUAGAUAUAUGGAAGAACACCAGUGGCGAAAGCGGCUCUCUGGUCUGUAACUGACGCUGAGGUUCGAAAGCGUGGGUAGCAAACAGGAUUAGAUACCCCAGUAGUC